rnacentral:misc_RNA from 1 species
UUAUAUAUAUAUAUAUAUAUAAAGGCACACAAGUAUUCUCUGACCACAAAGUCCUUGCUACAAGGAAAAUUUUAUGAAAUUGUGAUCAGCCCAGCUGCUCUAUGGUAGUGAAUGCUGGGUGGCAAAAACAGCACAUUUAUAAAAUGGGCAAUGCUGAAGCUAAAUUGAGAAUGUUAAUAUACCAGAAUAAAAAAUAUAUAUAUAUAUUUUAUAUUCAGCAGAGGGUGGACGCAGUACGCAUUGAGGACAAAAUGAGGGAGGAUAGGUUGAUAUGUUUGAUCCAUAUCCAAUGUAAACUUACAGAUGCACUGAAGCAAAAAAGCAAGUCAAUUUGAGGUAGUAGGAAGAAUGGGAAAGUAGACCUAAAAAUACCAUGGAUUGAACAUAUAUUGGAAAGUAUGACCUAUACAAAGUUGAAUUAAGGCAAAAAAAACAUAUGCUGAUGACAACUAAAUUGGAAUUGAGAGUUAGUUCAAUUGAAUUGAGUUGAAUUGAAUAAUACAUGCUGGUGGCAGGAAGUGGAGAUAUCAUAGAGAAAACAAAUAUUUAUAAGGUUCUAGAGGAGUAGUAGGAUAAUUGAUUUCCUCAUUCCAAUUUUGGCUAAAAAGUGGACAAAGAAUAAUAUAGGUUACAACAGUAUGCAAUUGAAAGAAUAAAACAGAAAUAGCUAACAAACACAAACUGUUAAGAUUAAGGUGAUAUUGAUAAUUGAUAAAGUUUACCAACGCCUUGCCCCUUCCCCCUCCACACACACACACAUUUUAAAAAACAAAAAGGAAAGGAGAAGCGAGUAAUCAAUAGACAAUGAUCUAAUUCAGAUCAACUUAAACACUUCAUACAUACUCUGAAUCAGAUUGUUCAUCACUAUCAUACUCAGCAGCAUUAGAGCUUCCUCCAGCAAGAAGACCUCUGUUUGAAUCAUCAGCAGCUGCAAGUGCCACCAAAGCUCGAUCCUGUGCACCUGGUUGUACUGCUGGAAGUCUAUCCUGCCUCCCUGGCUCUGCAUUUACAUUCUCCUGGCCACCAUUUUCCUCAGGUCUGGGCAGUAAAAAAUCUGUUAAACCAAGUGCCCAGCCAACUGCUGUAAACCAAUAGCGAAGAAGGGUUUUGAUUGUGGUCCGCAACUUAAAAUGCUCAAUGGCAAAUGGAAUGCAGAUUUGGAAAAGAAGCAUGUCAGCUGGUAUUUCAGUAAAUGGAUCAGACACCGAUAUGUCCAGAGGGAAAAUGGAGGGUGCCAUCUGCAUUGCAAGUUUGACAGGUAAAAAUACCAGCAUCACAAUUAAACUCCCAUAAACAGCAACAGACAACAAAACCCUGCGAGCAUGCUUGUGCACAGGAUCAUCAAUUAAAUCACGGAAUGGGUUAUAGUUUGGAUCAGCUGGAUCUCGAAGAAAAUACAGAACUCCUUGACGUAAAACCCCUCGAAGAAGACUGACAAAGAUGCUUAUUUGUAGCAUGUACACAAUUCCUACAACCCAAUGAACCAAUGAGCUUGCUAAAGGAGAAAUGGAGAAGAAUUGAACUCUUUGAGCCAUGGACUUCCCAAACAUCCUUAUAGUACAAACAUCCAGCCACCAUCCACACAUCAAAGGAAAUACGCCAAGCUCAAUGACCAGUAGGAAGGCAACCUUAAUCAUAGUCAUCAAAUGCCUCAUUGCUGCCAAGAACUGCCUGAAAAGUGAUGGAAUUGUUUCUGCGAUAGAGGCAAUACCAUAAAAUCUCCCCAUAGUCAAAGGCUCACCCUUUGUGUAUCGAAUCAAAGCAACAAUACCCACGUAGAAGAAGACCAGAGAGAAUAUAAACAUGUAUCCAAUAGCAAGAGUUGUAACAUCAGAAAGCCGUGAUGUGCCAAUAUUUGCCCCUUUUAAGAGAUCUGCUGACAGUGGAGUGCUUAUGUUCUUUGAGACUUCAUUUAGUCCAGUAGCAUUUACUUUCAUCAUAUCAGCAACCUGACCAAGAAGUCCACCUUCUUGACCUUCAGAUGUCAAAUUUGUAACAGCAGUUAAUGCACUCUUCAUUGUAAAAUUUGCUACGGAGAGGUCAGUAUCUGUGAGUGGCAUAACUGUUGAUAAUAAAGGACCACUCGCCGAAGAGAAAAGCCACGAUACAUAAUGGAGUAUAAUCCGUCCCAAUGAAAAGGGCACAAAGAUAACAACACCAAGGAAUAUCAUAUUGCUAGCCAGAACAGUGAAUGCAUUUUCAACUAAAUGGAAUACAGGACCCUGCAUACCAACAAGCUCAUCGAAGGGUACAUCCUCUGCACCAUCAGCAUCAUCUAAACCAUCAAACAUUUGUUCAACAUGAGCCUCAAGACGAGCUGCCUGCAUCUCCCACCGAGCAGCAACAUUUUCUGCAUUCCUUCUUAUUAUUUGACCAGCCCCUGCAAUUCCUUGUCCUCCACCAGCAUCUUCAGCAUUUGCCUCACCAGCAAAAUUUCUAAUAGCCUGUCCUGGUGGCCGUCUUGCAGCACGGGCACCAUUUCUGUCACCUUCAUCUUCUCUCUCAGCAUCCUGACCUCCAAGCUCCCUUAAAUGCCUAAAGUAAUCUCUUAAUGAAGUGGCCCCAAGAAAAAUGAAAACAAUGCUGGCAGAAAGUAGGAAGCCAUGCAGACAAUCAGUAAGAAUAACUGUAGUAGAGAUAUGACUUAAAAAUAAUCUCUGGGCUUCACCAAAACUCCUCACAAAAGCCAAACGCCAUAUCCAGAAUGUUAUGAAGGGUAUAAUGAGGAGCCAAACAGAAAGUACAAAACUAAGGCGCAAAAAGAAUUGCAAAACAUGACAAGUCUUCAUUGCCAUUCCAACUACAAACUCCUGAAAAGGAAGCCUUGCUGGGGCAUUCUCAGCAUAAACAGGAGAGAACGAGAAUGCAUGCUUGCAAACCUCGCAUUGGCGAGCGUUGCUGUGAUUAAGCCACUGCAGGAGGCAGUCCUGGUGCACAAACUUGAUACUUCCGCUACACGCGCACGGAUAACGUAAAGGAUUCUCCGCAUCUCCCGGGUUCCUACAGAUCCGGCAUACAUCCUCCUCCUCCUCAUCGUCCUCGUACCUCGACCCCGCUGCCGACGACGACGAAGCUCCAUUACUCUCCUCCUUUUCAUUCAAAUAGCGCUUCCACGCUGUAGAGCUCGAGGAAGACGAGGAUGGCGACGACGGCCUUAUAAUGUCCUUGUCCUUAGAAUAUCCGUGAUUCGGUGGCGGUGGCGCCGCCGCGGAGCCGAUCUCCAUGAGGAAAGUUUAGGUUUCGGAGGAAAGAGGACGGCGAGUCAGAGACGGGAUUGACUCAAUGAGUUCAGGGCACGAAUUGGAAAUUUGGAGAAGUAGUAGAUUGAAACGCGUUGUGGGGAUUUUUGUUUUGUUUUAUUUUUUCUUUUGGAGUUUGG